UACGUAGGGUGCGAGCGUUGUCCGGAAUUAUUGGGCGUAAAGAGCUCGUAGGCGGUUUGUCGCGUCGACUGUGAAAACCCGAGGCUUAACCUCGGGCCUGCAGUCGAUACGGGCAGACUAGAGGUAUGCAGGGGAGAACGGAAUUCCUGGUGUAGCGGUGAAAUGCGCAGAUAUCAGGAGGAACACCAGUGGCGAAGGCGGUUACCUGGAGCUUUGCUGACGCUGAUGCGCGAAGGCGUGGGGAGCGAUCCGG
rnacentral:rRNA from 1 species